rnacentral:rRNA from 1 species
CCUACGGGGGGCUGCAGUGGGGAAUAUUGCACAAUGGGGGAAACCCUGAUGCAGCGACGCCGCGUGAGUGAAGAAGGAUUUCGGUAUGUAAAGCUCUAUCAGCAGGGAAGAAAAUGACGGUACCUGAGUAAGAAUCCCCGGCUAACUACGUGCCAGCAGCCGCGGUAAUACGUAGGGGGCAAGCGUUAUCCGGAUUUACUGGGUGUAAAGGGAGCGUAGACGGCAGCACAAGUCUGGAGUGAAAUGCCGGGGCUUAACCCCGGAACUGCUUUGGAAACUGUGCAGCUAGAGUGCAGGAGAGGUAAGCGGAAUUCCUAGUGUAGCGGUGAAAUGCGUAGAUAUUAGGAGGAACACCGGCGGCGAAGGCGGCCUGCUGGACUGAAACUGACGUUGAGGCUCGAAAGCGUGGGGAGCAAACAGGAUUAGAUACCCCUGUAGUC